UACGGAAGGUCCGGGCGUUAUCCGGAUUUAUUGGGUUUAAAGGGAGCGCAGGCGGAGAGCUAAGCGUGACGUGAAAUGUAGCCGCCCAACGGCUGACGUGCGUCGCGAACUGGUUUUCUUGAGUGGGUACGACGUCGGCGGAACUCGUGGUGUAGCGGUGAAAUGCUUAGAUAUCACGAGGAACCCCGAUUGCGAAGGCAGCCGACGAGUCCCUUACUGACGCUAAAGCUCGAAGGUGCGGGUAU
rnacentral:rRNA from 1 species